UUAUAGAAAUAUACUAAAAUU
rnacentral:piRNA from 1 species